UGAAACCAUUUACGCCCUUCGGACUUUACUUUCUUGUCAAACUAUUGACGAUUUUUUUUCUCACAAUAUAUUGCCAAGAUCUAACUUGAAUGCAGAACCUACGUGUACAACCCCUGCUUCUAAAUCCCCUAGUUCUACUACUGAGCUCAAUGCAGGGGGUACUACACAUACUGAUUCUCCCACACUUCCGCAAGUUCCCUCUUAUGCUUCAGAUUUCUCUACCAAAGCUCCAUCUACUACAAAAUCUGGCAGAAAUAUUCAUAAACCUCACCUUAAAGAUUAUAUUUGUCAAUACAAGGCCAUGAAUGGCAGCAAGCAAUGCAACAUGAGUUGAACGCCUUAGAUGCUAACAAUACAUGGAAUAUAGUCUCCCUCCCCAAAGGUCAACACAAAAUUGGUUGCAAAUGGGUAUACAAAAUCAAAUAUAACUUCAAGGGAGAGAUUGACCGAUACAAAGCUCGCCUUGUCGCCAAAGGAUAUACACAACAAUAAGGUAUUGACUACUCUGAAACUUUUGCACAUGUUGCUAAAUUCACUACUCUUAAAUGUUAUUAGCAAUAGCUGCCAUAAAAAAAUUGUCAUUACACCAAAUUGAUAUGGAUAAUGUUUUUCUCCAUGGUGAUUUAAAUGAGCAAGUGCUUAUGACUAUCCCCAAAGGAAUCUUAUUAAGGGGGAGAUUCCUCCUACUCCGGUAUGCAAAUUAAACAAAAGCAUUUAUGGUCAAAAACAAUCCUCUCGUCAAUGGUAUGAGAAACUAAGUUCAACAUUACUUCAACUCGGAUUUCAGCAAUCUCCAUCCGACCAUUCACUCUUCAUUCGCUAAAAAUCAAGUGUUUUCCUUGUCUUACUCAUAUAUGUGGAUGAUGUCAUACUUGCUAGUAAUAAUGAUGAGGAUGUCUCUCUUUUUAAAUCCCAAUUGCAUAAAUAUUUCACAUUCAAAGAUUUAGGUCCACUUCGUUUCUUUCUUGGUCUUGAAAUAGGGAGAUCCACUAAUGGCAUAUCUAUUUCCCAAAGACCUUUUUAUUUGCAACUACUUGAAGACGCAGGUUAUCUAGGAGUCAAACCUGCCUGUACUCCAUUGGAACCUAAUAUCAAGUUAUCUAAAGAUAUCGGAGAAGAACUCAAAGAUCCUACAACUUAUAAAAGCAUGACUGGCAUAUGCAGAAACAAACUUCACUCCAGCUGAUCUUUCCUUGAAAAUUUAUGCUGACACAGAUUGGUGUAGCUGUGUUGAUACAAGAAGAUCUGUUUCAGGGUUCUGUAUAUUCCUUGGACAGUCCCUCUUAUCAUGGAAGUCCAAAAAGCAAUCUACGGUCUCUCGCUCAACUGUCGAAUUCAAAUACCGAGCAAUGGCAAAUGCAACUUAUGAAAUAGUUUGGCUCCUCGCUCUGCUUCGUGACUUCGGCAUCCCAC